rnacentral:tRNA from 1 species
CUGGGGGUGGAGCUCAGUGGUAAAGCACAUGCUUGGCAUGCACAAGGUCCUGGGUUCAAUCCCCAGCUCCCAAG